CAGCAGCCGCGGGAAUACGAAGGGUGCAAGCGUUAAUCGGAAUUACUGGGCGUAAAGCGUGCGUAGGCGGUGAGUUAAGUCUGCUGUGAAAUCCCCGGGCUCAACCUGGGAAUGGCAGUGGAUACUGGCUCGCUAGAGUGUGUCAGAGGAUGGUGGAAUUCCCGGUGUAGCGGUGAAAUGCGUAGAGAUCGGGAGGAACAUCAGUGGCGAAGGCGGCCAUCUGGGACAACACUGACGCUGAGGCACGAAAGCGUGGGGAGCAAACAGGAUUAGAGACCCCCGUAGUCCCUGUCUCUUACAC
rnacentral:rRNA from 1 species